rnacentral:rRNA from 1 species
AUGACGAGCCGUCUUUUAGAUGACGAAGUGGUUGAUGCCAUGCUUUCAAGAAAAGCUUCUAAGCUUCAGGUAACCAGGAACCGUACCCCAAACCGACACAGGUGGUCGGGUAGAGAAUACCAAGGCGCUUGAGAGAACUCGGGUGAAGGAACUAGGUAAAAUGGCACCGUAACUUCGGGAGAAGGUGCGCCGGCUAGGGUGAAGGAUUUACUCCGUAAGCUCUGGCUGGUCGAAGAUACCAGGCCGCUGCGACUGUUUAUUAAAAGCACAGCACUCUGCAAACACGAAAGUGGACGUAUAGGGUGUGACGCCUCCCCGGUGCCGGAAGGUUAAUUGAUGGGGUUAGCGCAAGCGAAGCUCUUGAUCGAAGCCCCGGUAAACGGCGGCCGUAACUAUAACGGUCCUAAGGUAGCGAAAUUCCUUGUCGGGUAAGUUCCGACCUGCACGAAUGGCGUAACGAUGGCGGCGCUGUCUCCACCCGAGACUCAGUGAAAUUGAAAUCGCUGUGAAGAUGCAGUGUAUCCGCGGCUAGACGGAAAGACCCCGUGAACCUUUACUGUAGCUUUGCACUGGACUUUGAGCCUGCUUGUGUAGGAUAGGUGGGAGGCUUUGAAGCGUGGACGCCAGUUCGCGUGGAGCCAUCCUUGAAAUACCACCCUGGCAUGCUUGAGGUUCUAACUCUGGUCCGUAAUCCGGAUCGAGGACAGUGUAUGGUGGGCAGUUUGACUGGGGCGGUCUCCUCCUAAAGAGUAACGGAGGAGUACGAAGGUGCGCUCCGACCGGUCGGAAAUCGGUCGCAGAGUAUAAAGGCAAAAGCGCGCUUGACUGCGAGACAGACACGUCGAGCAGGUACGAAAGUAGGUCUUAGUGAUCCGGUGGUUCUGUAUGGAAGGGCCAUCGCUCAACGGAUAAAAGGUACUCCGGGGAUAACAGGCUGAUACCGCCCAAGAGUUCAUAUCGACGGCGGUGUUUGGCACCUCGAUGUCGGCUCAUCACAUCCUGGGGCUGAAGCCGGUCCCAAGGGUAUGGCUGUUCGCCAUUUAAAGUGGUACGCGAGCUGGGUUUAGAACGUCGUGAGACAGUUCGGUCCCUAUCUGCCGUGGACGUUUGAGAUUUGAGAGGGGCUGCUCCUAGUACGAGAGGACCGGAGUGGACGAACCUCUGGUGUUCCGGUUGUCACGCCAGUGGCAUUGCCGGGUAGCUAUGUUCGGAAAAGAUAACCGCUGAAAGCAUCUAAGCGGGAAACUUGCCUCAAGAUGAGAUCUCACUGGGAACUUGAUUCCCCUGAAGGGCCGUCGAAGACUACGACCUUGAUAGGCUGG